UUGUCAAGAUAAUGCUUCAUUUUGGCAAUUCUAUUCAAAGCUGGAAUGAUUUUUUUAUCCUCCAGUGCACCUAAACCUCUGCAAUAUUGGUCAAUAUUGAAACAAUAAUAUAUGAGAUUGUCACAUAGCCAUUCACUAGAGUAUUUGUACAAAUGAAAAUAUAAACUAUACCAAUCCCAAAGUACCAUCACUUACUAUACUUCCUUGGACUGAAAAGAUUCAGGUGAAAAAAAUAAUCCAAUCAGACCCCUACCACUAUUUAAUUUUACAUGCAUUUUCCUUUCACCAAAGUUUCAUCUAUCAUACGUAACAAGACUCUUUAAAGUGGAUGGUUUUUGCCUAUACUUGAAAUAUGCUAUUUUUUUUUUCUCUGUGCAUGUAGACUUCGUUCAUGGUCAUCAUUUAUUGCCAGUUUCAGUUGUCCAAACAGUAGUGCCUGAGUCAUCCUCAUCCAGUUUUUUAUCUCCUUUCCUUCCAGAAAUUCCAUUUUCUGAAGACUCUGAAGAGCCUGGUCAGGAAUGAAUAAUUAGAUGUUAUUUUAAUUUUAUUAAAUAAAAAAGUCUGUGGUUUUUGCCUUCUAACCUGUGUCAGCUGCACUGCUUGAAUUAAAUUUACACCCUCAAAUGGAUAAAAUAUUAAAAAAAACUCACUGCAGUUUGAAAAACUUCAUGUCACAGCAAGAAAAUUGAAGUUGUAGUGUUUUCGUUUCUUUAAAUGAUUCAGAGAGCAGCAAAAAUUGCAGGUAAACAUUCUUGUUGGUGUAAUGUCACUGGAGAUAAUUUGUUUUGCAAGGUUAUAUCCUUCUGUGGCAUUCUACCCAACUACCUCCUCCACCACUUUUCCUAGAGGUAAUUAAAAGCAAUAUAUCCUUUCACAGCCCAUACACACAUUCUAAACUCAAGCCAACACAAACCAAGGUAAGUUAAUAUUUAAUACAUAUUCCAUUCAAAACAUCAAACACCAUAAAUGCUGGUGGCAGAAAGAGCGUAAGUUUGCACCUAAUCCUCAGUAAGAAGUUUAAAAAAUGAUAACAUAAUUUUGGUUUGUGGAGAAAAAUCUCUCUGAAUAUGUUAGAUUUGUCAUUGCUGGAAACAUGAGCAGCAUAACUCCUGCAUAGGCUCUAUAACUGUGGUAAGCAGCACCAAACUGGGAAACAAUUUUACCUAAUGGAAAUGUAAACAAAAAAUAACUAAUUGAUCCAAGGGGGUUCCCAUGUCAUUAAAUAUCAAGUCAAGUUUGCAUGCAACAAACAUCUUCCCAAAACUCACAAUAAGACUGGAUGCACAGCAGAAUUGCCUGUCUCAGUGCUAGGUACAUAUGUAGUCAGCUGGGUUUUUUGUCACAACAGAUGCAUUGGAUUACUCAUUUUCAAUAUUUAUCACCAAAAUAGAUCAGAAUUAACUGAAGAAUAUAGUUGGUUUCAUUUACACUUAGAUAUUGACAUAAUCAGUCUCUCAAAAUUACUAAGACUGAUGUACACAGGCAAAUAGAAGUAACUAUUUUUGCACAGUCAUCUACCAUAUUUUUAUAUGAUUAAAAUUCAUAACAGAAUUGAACAUCACACUCUUUGCAGGAUGCUUUUACAUUUUAUGUAUGCAGCUAUAAUCAUUGGCAAUGUCAGCUGGCACUUGUCAGAAAAGCCAUGCUCUUAGUAAUAGCAUUUCUGUCUUUUGGGAAGCUUUCAGAAUUUUGUUUUCUUAGUUGAAGGGAUAUUUUUAGAACAGAAGAUUAAAAGGAGCAUGAAAAUCUGAACCAUAGGUAUAGUACAGCUUAUACAAUUCAUAGGUACUAUCAUAUUUUCCUUUUCCAGGAAUUGCCAAUUAGAAGAAACAGUCAUCUCCUGUGAAACUUACUGGUCAUCUUCAUUACAUUCUUCAAACAGGUUCAUCCUGGAGACAGGGAUUCUUUGUGGUGUGCUACCAGGAGCAGUACCAACCCAGCUCCAGGUGAAGCAGACUGGCUCCAGGGCAGCACCACUCCCACUUAGAAAGUCCUGAUGAUCUGUGGUGUCUCCCACCCAUCUUGGAUCUCAGACUAGGCUCACCCCAAACUGGCAUCCCUGUACUCACAAAGAUGAGAAUCCAAGGGAAGCAGAAAGACUGGAGCACUUAUCUCUAGGUGUAGGAUGUUCCUUCUGUGGGAGGGCAGUAUCCCUUGUGAUUAAUCCAUGACAGAGUGGAAGUCACACAAUGCAGUGGGAGUCACAGACUUUUGCAGAGGCAGGACACAGCCCUUCUGAAACGUGGUUUCUCCUUGGCUCCUGUCAGCCCUCCAGCUCAGAAAGAACAAGGAUGCCUUAGCUGUCAAGGUGGUAGGUUCUUUCUGCUAUAAAAGAACAUGUCUUAUGCCUAGGUCCUUCUGAACUGGAAUUUAAAACAUUUUGAAACCUUGAAGUACAUCUCAGAAGAUAUUUCUUCAUUCAAGCAGGUCACAAAAGGAAGCAGGAAAAAAGUACUUGGAAGAAUUAUUUUUUGGAUGCCUGAAUAGAUGAAAGAGCUACAUCCCAAGCAGACAACAGGAUACAUUAGAUGCUUUUCACUUCUUGGGUCACAUGCUGGCACAACACAGCACACAUCAUCUUGAGAAGCGAUGAAAUUUCUAAUAAAACCUCUCUCUUUGUACUUCUUGUUCUCUCCACAUUUUCUGAAGGUUAAUUGCCCUCUAAUUUUUUUCAGUCUGGCUCACUGUUUGAUUUCUCACUUCUCUCAGAGCUAGUUAGAGAUUAUAUAGGAACAUUUCCAGCAUGCCCACAACCUCCUGUUGCCUCUCAAUUGCAUUGUUUCUUCCUAAUGACAUUUACCUAUACAGAAACUGAUAUAGUAUUGACUUUAAAGGCAUUUUCCCCUCUCUUUCUUCCUAGGAUGAAAAGCUCAACUUUUAAGGAAGCUUGUUGACUAGACUAACCUUGAAGGUAGAAAGUCCUUCUUACUGUACAUUUCUACCUUUUUUACUUGUCCCUAGCUGUCUCUCUCCACCUUGACCCCAAUAUUAAAUCAAAACGACUGAAUGUGUAAUGCAAUUCUUCAGAUCACUGACAUGUUUUGUAUUUGCCAUACAAGCAUGACAUUCAGUCAUGACACUGGUGUUGGACUGGGAUGAUUUUAGAAAAGAUGUUUGGAAACUUUGACCUAUAGACUAUAAAACUGCAAAACAUUGGCACUGGUUUGGUUUGCUUUCCAUUGUAAAGCCCUUGUGAUAUCUUAGAUGCUGUUAAAAUGAUAGCACAUUAUCUCCUGGCUCUCUUCUGCUCUUAGGCCAGAGCAUUUACUUUUUCUAUAAAUAAAAAUAAAAUAUAAAUAUAGAUAUAUUUCAUCAUUGCUUAAACUUUGGAAUUUUGUAUACUGCACAGUUUAUAGAAAAACAUUAAAUAUUUCCAUUAUAUUUGACAUCUUCUGUGUCUGCCCAUAUCCAGACACCAGCUAUUCCAAUUUA